rnacentral:rRNA from 1 species
UACAGAGGGUGCAAGCGUUGUUCGGAAUUAUUGGGCGUAAAGCGCGUGUAGGCGGCUUUGCAAGUCGGGUGUGAAAGCCCUCAGCUCAACUGAGGAAGUGCGCCCGAAACUGCAGAGCUUGAGUACCGGAGAGGAUGGUGGAAUUCCCGAAGUAGAGGUGAAAUUCGUAGAUAUCGGGAGGAACACCGGUGGCGAAGGCGACCAUCUGGACGGAUACUGACGCUGAGACGCGAAAGCGUGGGUAGCAAACAGG